rnacentral:rRNA from 1 species
GAUGAACGCUGGCGGCGUGCCUAAUACAUGCAAGUCGAGCGAACGGACGAGAAGCUUGCUUUUCUGAUGUUAGCGGCGGACGGGUGAGUAACACGUGGAUAACCUACCUAUAAGACUGGGAUAACUUCGGGAAACCGGAGCUAAUACCGGAUAAUAUUUUGAACCGCAUGGUUCAAAAGUGAAAGACGGUCUUGCUGUCACUUAUAGAUGGAUCCGCGCUGCAUUAGCUAGUUGGUAAGGUAACGGCUUACCAAGGCAACGAUGCAUAGCCGACCUGAGAGGGUGAUCGGCCACACUAGAACGGAGACACGGUCCAGACUCCUACGGGAGGCAGCAGUAGGGAAUCUUCAGCAAUGGGCGAAAGCCUGACGGAGCAACGCCGCGUGAGUGAUGAAGGUCUUCGGAUCGUAAAACUCUGUUAUUAGGGAAGAACAUAUGUGUAAUUAACUGUGAACAUCUUGACGGUACCUAAUGAGAAAGCCACGGCUAACUACGUG